AGUGAACGCUGGCGGUAGGCCUAACGCAUGCGAGUCGAACGGCAGCACAGUAAGAGCUUGCUCUUACGGGUGGCGAGUGGCGGACGGGUGAGGAAUACAUCGGAAUCUACUUUUUCGUGGGGGAUAACGUAGGGAAACUUACGCUAAUACCGCAUACGACCUACGGGUGAAAGCAGGGGAUCUUCGGACCUUGCGCGAUUGAAUGAGCCGAUGUCGGAUUAGCUAGUUGGCGGGGUAAAGGCCCACCAAGGCGACGAUCCGUAGCUGGUCUGAGAGGAUGAUCAGCCACACUGGAACUGAGACACGGUCCAGACUCCUACGGGAGGCAGCAGUGGGGAAUAUUGGACAAUGGGCGCAAGCCUGAUCCAGCCAUACCGCGUGGGUGAAGAAGGCCUUCGGGUUGUAAAGCCCUUUUGUUGGGAAAGAAAAGCAGCAGGUUAAUACCCCGCUGUUCUGACGGUACCCAAAGAAUAAGCACCGGCUAACUUCGUG
rnacentral:rRNA from 1 species